AACGCUGGCGGCGUGCCUAAUACAUGCAAGUCGAGCGAAUGGAUUAAGAGCUUGCUCUUAUGAAGUUAGCGGCGGACGGGUGAGUAACACGUGGGUAACCUGCCCAUAAGACUGGGAUAACUCCGGGAAACCGGGGCUAAUACCGGAUAAUAUUUUGAACUGCAUGGUUCGAAAUUGAAAGGUGGCUUCGGCUGUCACUUAUGGAUGGACCCGCGUCGCAUUAGCUAGUUGGUGAGGUAACGGCUCACCAAGGCAACGAUGCGUAGCCGACCUGAGAGGGUGAUCGGCCACACUGGGACUGAGACACGGCCCAGACUCCUACGGGAGGCAGCAGUAGGGAAUCUUCCGCAAUGGACGAAAGUCUGACGGAGCAACGCCGCGUGAGUGAUGAAGGCUUUCGGGUCGUAAAACUCUGUUGUUAGGGAAGAACAAGUGCUAGUUGAAUAAGCUGGCACCUUGACGGUACCUAACCAGAAAGCCACGGCUAACUACGUGCCAGCGGCCGCGGUAAUACGUAGGUGGCAAGCGUUAUCCGGAAUUAUUGGGCGUAAAGCGCGC
rnacentral:rRNA from 1 species